AUUAGUUAUAGCAAAUUUUCAUAAGGUAUUUCGAUGAAUUUCGCUAGUUUUUUUCGCUGAGUGUAUGCUCAUCUUCGUACGGGGCAGUUCAGUGUGUUUUUGGAGGCAAAAUCGAAAUGCCGCUUUUUUCAUUUGGUUCGGCCGCGAGCGCGUUGUCGUCGUCGUCUAUUUCACAGUGCUCAUCUUCGUACGGGGCAGUUCAGUGUGUUUUUGGAGGCAAAAUCGAAAUGCCGCUUUUUUCAUUUGGUUCGGCCGCGAGCGCGUUGUCGUCGUCGUCUAUUUCAUAGUGCUCAUCUUCGUACGGGGCAGUUCAGUGUGUUUUUGGAGGCAAAAUCGAAAUGCCGCUUUUUCAUUUGGUUCGGCCGCGAUCGCGUCGUCGUCGUCGUCUAUUUCAUAGUGCUCAUCUUCGUACGGGGCAGUUCAGUGUGUUUUUGGAGGCAAAAUCGAAAUGCCGCUUUUGUGAAGCUUUUAGUCAAGUGUGAAUUAAAUCAUACAUUACCAACCGGUUCGUAUUGAAAAAUCGCAGCAGGCGUUGCCGCGAACGGGUGUGUUUUUAUUUUGCUUGUCACGUUUUCUUCGCGUUCGCAAAUUUCACGGUUCCGCUGGUGGUUUGGUCGGUACUACGCCACCCGGAAAGUUUUGUCACGUGUGGACGCGUUGAUUUGGCUUAGUUUAGAAUGCUGAACUGUGAAUAAAUAUCGAAGCAAAGUGAAUUUUGACUUACCAGUGAGAAGAAAAACAACGUGGGUGGCGAGUAAGCGUUGCCGCGAACGGGUGUCAAAUCCGCUUGUUAUUUUUUUUUUUGCACGUUCUCAAAACGAACUUUAUUCGAAGAUUGCGCUGGUGGUUUGGCAGGUAUUACGCCACCCCGUCAAUUUUCUUCGUGUGAAAGUGUAAUUCUUCAGCGUAGUAUCCAUUAUUCGGGAGUUUCGGCGUAGUGCCAGUAAUCGCUGACUCGGUUGAUCGGUCCACGUCGUUUUAAGUGUACGCGGCAAUGAAAACAAUCCUAUUUCGGUCGUUGCUGCAUCGCUGGAGAAAUAAAAGUUCAACUAUAUCACUGCAGACUAUAAAGAACUUGGUGAGAUCUUUCUAAUUAUAAAACGUCAUUUUAUUCAUACAUGUGAUAUUUACUAUACCUAAAUACGCGCCAGAAACAAAAAUGCAAAUUUUUGAUUCAGGAAGUGUUAAUGCAUUUCAGAUAUCCAAUUGAUAUUCGGAUGCAUCAAUGCGUGGCUUACUGUUUCAGAAAACGACCUCAAGAUGUACGUGGAAGCCCUGUCAUACUUGAAAUGGGUCGUGGAAGUGCAGUAGAGCUAUCACCUUCCAUAUCCAGGACUAAAACUGUUUGCGUCUAUGGAUAAAAGUUAAAAAUAGACGCAGACAUUUUUCUUCCAUAAAAGCACUGCCGGUCAGUGGGAGAUGGAUUGUACAUACACACACACACACACACAUAUUUGCUACAUUUUUUUGUAACAAAAUAAUCUCAAAAUUUGUUGGGUUUUUUGUAUUGACGCGAAAUAGUUGGACAUUUUUGUAAUAUUGAUUACUCGAGCCAAAAUCCAUAAAACAAAACUUAUGGUAUCCAGCUUUUUACGCUGUAGUGAGGGGUGAUUCAUUUUUGACGGAUCUUGCCGACAGCCCUUGCAGCAUCACAGUAGCCGAAAAUUUCAGUUCAUUGCUCCCGAAUUGUCAAACAUUUUCACCAUGAACUUUUCCGGCUAGUAAAUAACGUUUGUCGAAAUUCAAAAUUUAUUUCGUUUUAGAUUUUUGAUCGUUGCCCGCCACCUUAAACUGUAGACUCCUGGUUCACCUUUACCGCCGAGGCUUCGCAAGACGACGACAAACAAUGGAUUACGAUUGAAGUAUUUUAUUACGACAUUCCUGUCGUCCAUAUGGCCCUAAUUAGUGUAUGGUGUCAGUGCGGGGCCGUGAUGAUGUUGCCUGGUGCCUUGCUGCUGCCCGAUCGUCCCAACCUUGCCGGAAUUGCACGAGUUGUAAUAUGCGGACCCGGAACAGCUUCACUUUGUCCUCAUGAUCUUGGUGUGGUUUCGCUUCACUGACCAGGGUUACACGCGGGAUUCCCGGCUGUUCUGUUUGACACGAUAUGUUCAUCGGAGUCACUCUGCGAAUCUGGAAUACCUUCGCUUCCUAUUUGACCAGGUUCCCUUCCGAAACAUGGACUUUUCUUGAAUUUCCGUCUGUAGCUACGGAUUUACUCCUCUUUGUCACCGGGUUGUGGGUCGUGUAGGUGUCCGUUUAGGAUUACAUCAGGAAUUCUCACCGAAGAUAGCUUCACGAAUUUCCACAGAUGAUUGCUCCAGGAAGUCCCACUAAGGGAAUCGGGAGGGAGUUCCUGCACCAAUCCCUGAUUAGACUUCGUGGGGAAAUCAUCGGUUGGACUUUCUGAACCAAUCCUCGGUGGGAAUUUCUGGAGGAGUUCCCGCAGGGAAUUACUGGAUAAAUCUCCGCUCGAAUAUCAUGGGAAAUCUCUGAUGGGAAUUCCAGAUGGAAUCUCCAUAGCGAACUUCUGCAGGAAUCUAAAAUUCCCACUGAACAAGUUUACUAUUUCCUUCCUAGAAACCUCCAGCAGUUUCCCUCGCGGAAUUGUAAAGCAGAUCAUUCCGAGAAUCCUGUGGUAUUUUUUUCCAAUCCUUAUGAACCAAUAAAACCUCCAACAAUUCAACAUCUGGAGGAAUCUCCAUGAAGAGGAGUAGAAACUUCCUGGAGUUUAUUUUUGGAGCUGUUCCACCAUUUCCAUCCAAGAAUCCUACUAAGAAUUUCCCCACCAAAUCCGUUCCGGAAAUCUUCAGGCAAUUCUUUCAAUACAGCAACUAUUUUUUUAGGACGCCGCAUUGUAUUUGUUUUGCUGGUAACAAUGGUAACAUCAGGUGAAAAUUUUUGACAAAUCUGGAGCAAUGAACUGAAAUUUUCGGCAACUGUGAUGCUGCAAGGGCUGUCGGCAAGAUCCGUCAAAAAUGAAUCACCCCUCACUACAGCGUAAAAAGCUGGAUUCAUUUAGAACGCAACGCUUAAAUCAUCAUGAUUUAACACCUUCUCCUCUUCCAUUUCGCUUUUUUGUAUGAAAGUCCUAAAAUUUUUGUAUGGACCGUAACGCUCGGUUGUAUUUUCCCCACUCCCUUGAGCGACGCGCAAUUUGGGGACGGCGUCAUUUUUGUUAGAAAAAAAAAAAAAUGCAACAGAACAGUUCUUGUUAUCAUUUAGUUAUAAUCUGCCAAAUUCUUCCCAAACCAGCAGUGUUUUGAAGCUACUAUCGUUAUGCGACAUCAUUACAGCUGGAAGGUGUAAUAAAAAAACUGUUGGAAUAUCACUAUUGCUUGUCGGAUGUAAACAUUAUUAUCAAUACAAACUGUAAACUGGAAUAUAGCUGGAAAUCAAAUAUUUCACAGCUAUCUUUUUUAAUUUUUUUGGGUUAUUUUAUUGCAUUCCUAUCCAAAACCGCAAUAGCUCCCGGAUGAUGUGCCAAUUGAAUAAUAAUCCUUGUUAAUCGAGGAAACAGCUGCUUUCAUAGAGUACGUUUUGGUACUGUUGCAGGACUUUGUAGCGUUUUAAAGAACAUUCUUUCUGCUGGAAGCUGUGGCGAAGAACCUGUUGACGCAACAACACAGUCUUUUCUAGAUGAUGUUGGAUUAGUUUUGUGGCACAAUUGUUAAAUCUUGUCUGGUGUGAAAUAAAGCAAGUAAACAUUGACAAACUUUGCCUUCAUCAGAUUAUAAGCUUUUCUUUCUUGUCUGUUAACCUUAGUUUUGUAUUCUUAUGCGAUAGAUGGUCGGGUAAACAAGGUGAAAAAAGGUUUGGAACUUUUCAUCAGAUCGUUUUCAAUUUUUGGUAGGAUGUCAAAGAUACAGUAGAUGUUCGAUAGCUGCCCGGGUAGAGGAAAAGAGCUCAAUAAUAGCAUAUUUUGAUAUUGAGAUCAAAAUGUGAUAUUGGUUUGAUUGAUAUAAGAGAUAAAAGAUCUGAAAAUAAUAUCUAAAAUUUACUCCUGGAACAUCAUCAUCAGAUCAUAAUUAGAUCUUGUAAGAUCUAACCAAUAGCAGCAAGCUAUUCGUUUGAUCUUGUAAUAUCAAAUUUUGAUAUUGUUGAGAUGUUCCAGGAACAUUUUUCAGAUAUUAUUUUCAGAUCUUUUAUCUCUUAUAUCAAUCAAAUCAAUAUCACGUUUUGAUCGUCAGUAUUUUACCUCUACCCGGGUGCAACAUGUUAACAUUUCACUUAGCGAACAAAAACCCGAUAACGGGAACGCCUUACAGUACCAGAAUGAACAUGAACUUCAUCUGUCUAUUCAUUUGGGCUUACAUGGUGCAGCAUUUUGACAUUUGGCGGUGCGAUAACUGCAAAUUUGUUGCAUUUACUGGACUUGCAAUUAAAAAGCAUUGCAGUUAAACCGCUUGCACUGACCGAACGUCUACUGUAAUAACCUUUCUUAAAGUAACCGUUUCCGAGAUAUUCGAAACUUAACUUCAUUAGUCUCUCAAUAUGUAAAAAAAUGCGCUAUUUUCAUAAGUUAUUCGUUGCUCCAUCAACAACAUUACGUUAUUUUCAACACAUUUGUAUAUCCCAAAAGCAAUCACUCACUUGAUUGGACGAACAGUUUGAAAGUUAUAGGAAGAUUGUGAACUUCAUUUAUUUUUGUAGAAACAAAUGAAGUUUCUAACUUGAAAUGAUGAUAAUGAGUUGUUUUUAUCGAUUAACUCUAAGUAAGAACAAAGAAAUACAACUUUGGAAUAAGUAAAUUCUCAGUUUGUAAAUCAAUCAAUCCUUAUUCUCCCUGCCUCCUCAAAACGUGACGAUAAACUUAAUGGAUGAUCCCUUGUGUGAUAGAUUCUAUUUCAUUGCUUAAAAUUAAAAAAAAAGUGGAAUAUAACUAAAUUAUAUCUACGGCUGUUAUCAUAUUUGCACACGGCAUAAAUAUCACAAGGCAGGCUAGUGCAACAAACCGCUGAAUUGAGAUUCACGGUAAAAAUUAUGCACGCUCAAUGUAAGGGAAAAAUCCCUUAACUAUUCAACAUCCCAAUCAGCAUGAUCAGAAAGGCUUUUCCUUUGAAAUCGCAAUGCUGUCAGUGUUGAUUUGAUAACCAAAACAAACCCACCGGAGAAAUCAACUAAAAAUCACUUCAAUUUGCACUAGUGUACAAAGCAGUACGAUCCAAAGUGAAAAGCUGUUGAUUUGAUAAUGACUAAUUUGGGUAUGAAAGUAAAUAUAGAUGACAGGUGGUAGAAAGUGUUUCGCUUCGAAUCGAACCUCUCUAACAGGUGUGAAGUAGUGUAGUGGUAAAACAGAUGAUCGUAUAUCUCAAGGUCCUGGUAUCGAAUCUGGGUGCGGUUAGCAGCAUUUUUUUUUAAAUUCUAUAUUCGAAUUCAAAACAUUGUCAACAACGAAUUGAAGUGAAGUUCAAUUAAAAUUGAAGAGGCAUUGGAUGUUCCUUUUCGAAUGAUAUUUAAUUGAUAACAAACUGAUUAAACAGUAGUGCGAAUUCAAGUGCCAAUCCGUUCAUAUCACAGUGCAGAUUUUUUACCGUGUUCAGCAAUUUAUUGCCAAAAUGAUAUUUUUUGUCAUUUUUCGGGAAUGGGGCAUACGUCACCCUUUUCCCCAAUCAUUUGCAACAAUUUUGCAUUUUUCGCUCAUGCCAAAAUAAGAUAAAGGGAAACCAACAUUUUGGGAUCUCGGCUUAUAUUUUAUGACAUAAACAUCGGGCAUGGUUUUCAACAUAUGUUGAAGCCUUCUGUGCCUGUAUUCUGGGUGACGAAAUUCAAGUACAUACAGGGUCGUCUUGAUGAAAUAAACAAUUGCCUAGAAAUCCGAUCGUAAAAUGAGUUGAGAAGAAUGAUCUGAUUGUUUUUGCAACAAGAAAAAACUUGGAAAUGCAUAACCUUCCCCGAAAAGAAAGGUUAUCACAGACGACGAUCAUAAUUGGAUCGUAAAAUUUUGUUUUGAAUCGAUCGGACGACCGUCCACACAUCCAUGCUUAGAAGGCGUGAAAAUUCUAACGCAUGAGUGAUCGUAAAACUGAGACGGGUGACGAAGAAAAGUAAACACUAUAAAUUUAUGAUCGCCCGGUGCGUUCAUGAAAAAUCAAGUUCGGGGAUGAUGAUGAUUGGUGUGGCCCUUGAUGACUCAGCCACUAAGGCAAGAAAUUUUGAGAUUGAAUUCGCGAGUACUUUCGCUCCCCUCAGAAUUUUGAUAUGAUCUCACAGAUGUGAGAAUGUGGAUGGGGGAUGUUAUGAUGCAUCGGAGAUUUAGCCUUUCUGUUUUGUUUUGGGGAGAGUUUUUGGGAGGCCCGAAUCUCAGAGGUGAGAAUAAAUUGGCCAUUCGUUCUGGAGGCUCAAUUAAUCUCGCGGAGGUGAGAUGGCGAAAUGGGAGGCAUAGGGAAAAUUGAUCAUCCGUGUAGGGAAGAGUUUAGAAUUGCUCUCACGGAUGUGGGAGAUGCAAAGAUAAGAAAAGAGCGCAAUUAAUAAUCAAUUACGCAUGGGGGCAUUGUGAAAUUAAUUUCUCUUUGGUAUGGGGAGAGUCCUGGAGAAUCUUUGAUCAGGAGAAUAAGAGUUGAUGGUUAGGGAGAGGACCCCUAUAUAAAGGGUUGCAGAUCCAAGGAUCGGGGCUGCUGCCACUGCUGGUCUCGUCAUAUUAUUUUUUUUCCUAGAAGUUUCUGUAGUCAGUUUAGUUUAGGCUGUUAGCAGGUGUUUCAGUUUUCAGUGCAUUUAGUCAAUGAGUCAGUUAGUCGGGUUUUUCUUGUAAGACAUUAUUUUUGUUAAAAAAGAAAAAUAAAGUGGUGUAGUGUUAACCAGUGUUGGUGAAUCUAUUGAAAUGAUGACAUAUCUUUAAGACAGCGAGUGCGAAUUAAGAAGUUCGGUUACAGUUUACGGCACGAUUCGGUUACAGAUGGUGACAGCGAAAAAGAAUUUCAGAUUUAGAUGAAAUUUGGUGCGUCAUUUCUGAUUGGUGCGAAACUGUGCAAAUCAAAGAACUGUUACCGUGCAAAUCAAACAGUAGUGCAAAUGAUUAAAACACGUUAGGAUGAAGUAUCAGAAGAACUCGUAAAGUGAAUGAACUCUUUUAGAACAAACUUUUUCAAAAACCGAGAACAUUUUUUCCAAACUCUUCAAGUUGGUUUUAACUUUUAUUGGUGUGCAAAACUGUGCAAAU